rnacentral:rRNA from 1 species
GACGAACGCUGGCGGCGUGCUUAACACAUGCAAGUCGAACGGAAAGGCCCUGCUUUUGUGGGGUGCUCGAGUGGCGAACGGGUGAGUAACACGUGAGUAACCUGCCCUUGACUUUGGGAUAACUUCAGGAAACUGGGGCUAAUACCGGAUAGGAGCUCCUGCUGCAUGGUGGGGGUUGGAAAGUUUCGGCGGUUGGGGAUGGACUCGCGGCUUAUCAGCUUGUUGGUGGGGUAGUGGCUUACCAAGGCUUUGACGGGUAGCCGGCCUGAGAGGGUGACCGGCCAAAUGGGGACGGAGAUACGGCCCAGACUCCUAGGGGGGGCAGCAGGGGGGAAUAUUGCACAAUGGGCGGAAGCCUGAUGCAGAAACGCCGCGGGGGGGAUGACGGCCUUGGGGUGGUAAACCGCUUUCGCCUGUGACGAAGCGGGAGUGACGGUAAUGGGUAAAGAAGCACCGGCUAACUACGU